UACGAGGGGGGCGAGCGUUGUUCGGAAUUAUUGGGCGUAAAGGGUGCGUAGGCGGUUUGGUAAGUCUGAUGUGAAAUCUAUGGGCUCAACUCAUAGUCUGCAUCGGAAACUGCCGGGCUUGAGUAUGGGAGAGGUGAGUGGAAUUCCUGGUGUAGCGGUGAAAUGCGUAGAUAUCAGGAGGAACACCUGUGGCGAAAGCGGCUCACUGGACCAUAAUUGACGCUGAUGCACGGAAAGCUAGGGGGAGCAAACAGG
rnacentral:rRNA from 1 species